GUUCUGUCGGCCUGCCAGGGGAUUUGGCGGAGCAGGGCCGGGCGAUACUCGGAACGGGCCUGUUGCAAACACUCGCCUCUGCCCGGCCCGGCCCAGGGCCUCCAUACUGUGCACGGACUGCAUUGCCAAUAAGGACCUCCGAGGAGCUAGGUGGUGCUAGUCCUCUCUUGAAACCUCUGUAACUAUUAAGGCUGAAGUGCCAUUUAAAGAAAAAAAAGAAGGCAAAGAAAUGAGCAAUGAGAAGCUACGGAACAAGAUUAAGCGCAUCAUCAGCCUCUCUUCCCUCUUCUACCUCGGGGCACCCCUGGUGGCGAGACUCUCCUUGAACCGUUGACUAAAGAGAUAAAGGGCCUGUGCGGUCAGAAGAAGAGCUGAGGGCCAUGUGCAUGCCAGCUUCAGGGCCUUAACUUGAUGGAACCUCCCAAGGCUCUGAAACCAGGAGGAAGCAGCAGCCCCAAGAGUUAGAGGAACGGAGUCCCGCCUGCCCAGAGGCCAGUCUUCUUGCUUUGGUGGUGAUCUUGGAGCUGCGGGAGAGGGAUGCAUGGGCACUGGACCCCAUGGAGCCUCAGCAUCGUGCCCAAAGAGGCGACUCCCACUGUUCCGCUCUGAACCUGAGGGCCAUGUGACUUGGCACACUCACCGCUGAGAACUGCCCCGGCAGGGUGGGGGUGGGGGGAUAGGGUGUGGUGAAACUCAGCGACCUUGAUCAGCUUGCUGUGACAGUCAGAUCAAAGGGUUGGAGUUAUCUGAAGACUCCCCAGCCAACAACAAUAACAAAUGUGAAGCUAAAAUAAACUUUUCUGAACUAUGGCUGAUUUUAUUGUAAAGGAACAAAUUUUGACCAACUGUGUUAGAAGACUGAUUUAUCUUUCUACUUUUUUAUAUAGGAUGAUAUUUAAAAGUAGUUUUCACAUCCAGAGAUGGACCAAGAGUAUGUAGCCA